CCUACGGGAGGCAGCAGUGGGGAAUUUUGGACAAUGGGGGCAACCCUGAUCCAGCCAUGCCGCGUGAGUGAAGAAGGCCUUCGGGUUGUAAAGCUCUUUCGGACGGGAAGAAAUCAUGAGGGCUAAUAUCCCUUGUGGAUGACGGUACCGUAAUAAGAAGCACCGGCUAACUACGUGCCAGCAGCCGCGGUAAUACGUAGGGUGCGAGCGUUAAUCGGAAUUACUGGGCGUAAAGCGUGCGCAGGCGGUUUUGUAAGACAGGCGUGAAAUCCCCGGGCUCAACCUGGGAACUGCGCUUGUGACUGCAUCACUUGAGUACGGCAGAGGGGGGUGGAAUUCCACGUGUAGCAGUGAAAUGCGUAGAGAUGUGGAGGAACACCGAUGGCGAAGGCAGCCCCCUGGGUCGAUACUGACGCUCAUGCACGAAAGCGUGGGUAGCAAACAGGAUUAGAUACCCUGGUAGUCCACGCCCUAAACGAUGUCAACUAGGUGUUGGGUGGGUAAAACCAUUUAGUACCGUAGCUAACGCGUGAAGUUGACCGCCUGGGGAGUACGGCCGCAAGGUUAAAACUCAAAGGAAUUGACGG
rnacentral:rRNA from 1 species